CUUAAAAUGAAUUGACGGGGAGCACCACAACGGGUGGAGCCUGCGGUUAAUUGGACUCAACGCCGGGCAGCUCACCGGAUAAGACAGCUGGAUGAUAGCCGGGCUGAAGACUCUGCUUGACUAGCUGAGAGGAGGUGCAUGGCCGUCGUCAGUUCGUACUGUGAAGCAUCCUGUUAAGUCAGGCAACGAGCGAGACCCACGCCCACAGUUGCCAGCGUACUCUCUGGAGUGACGGGUACACUGUGGGACCGCCGCUGCUAAAGCGGAGGAAGGAAUGGGCAACGGUAGGUCAGUAUGCCCCGAAUAUCCCGGGCUACACGCGAGCUACAAUGGUUGGUACAAUGGGUAUCUACCCCGAAAGGGGACGGGAAUCUCCUAAAACCAAUCUUAGUUCGGAUUGAGGGCUGCAACUCGCCCUCAUGAAGCUGGAAUCCGUAGUAAUCGCGUUUCAACAGAACGCGGUGAAUACGUCCCUGCUCCUU
rnacentral:rRNA from 1 species